GGGCAUGCUUUACCCCUUGCAAGUUCGAACGGGUAACCGGUUCUUCGGAAUGCUUGAACGAGUGGCGAACCGGUGAGUUAAUACCAUCGGGAACCGGCCCGAUCGUGGGGGGAUAACGAACGCUAAACGCUUUGCUAAUACCGCAUACGAGUCUACGGAUGAAAGCAGGGGACCGCAAGGCCUUGCGCGAACGGAGCGGCCGAUGGCAGAUUAGGUAGUUGGUGGGAUAAAAGCUUACCAAGCCGACGAUCUGUAGCUGGUCUGAGAGGACGACCAGCCACACUGGGACUGAGACACGGCCCAUACUCCUACGGGAGGCAGCAGUGGGGAAUUUUGGACAAUGGGCGAAAGCCUGAUCCAGCCAUGCCGCGUGCAAGAUGAAGGCCUUCGGGUUGUAAACUGCUUUUGUACGGAACGAAAAGACUCUGGUUAAUACCUGGGGUCCAUGACGGUACCGUAAGAAUAAGCACCGGGCUAACUACGUGCCAGCAGCCGCGGUAAUACGUAGGGUGCAAGCGUUAAUCGGAAUUACUGGGCGUAAAGCGUGCGCAGGCGGUUAUAUAAGACAGAUGUGAAAUCCCCGGGCUCAACCUGGGAACUGCAUUUGUGACUGUAUAGCUAGAGUACGGCAGAGGGGGAUGGAAUUCCGCGUGUAGCAGUGAAAUGCGUAGAUAUGCGGAGGAACACCGAUGGCGAAGGCAAUCCCCUGGGCCUGUACUGACGCUCAUGCACGAAAGCGUGGGGAGCAAACAGGAUUAGAUACCCUGGUAGUCCAAUC
rnacentral:rRNA from 1 species